rnacentral:rRNA from 1 species
UACGUAGGGGGCUAGCGUUGUCCGGAAUCAUUGGGCGUAAAGAGCGCGCAGGCGGUCGUUCAAGUCGCGUGUGAAAGCCCCCGGCUCAACUGGGGAGGGUCACGCGAUACUGAUCGACUCGAAGGCAGGAGAGGGUAGUGGAAUUCCCGGUGUAGUGGUGAAAUGCGUAGAUAUCGGGAGGAACACCAGUGGCGAAGGCGACUACCUGGCCUGUUCUUGACGCUGAGGCGCGAAAGCUAGGGGAGCAAAGCGGG